rnacentral:rRNA from 1 species
AGUGGCGCACGGGUGCGUAACGCGUGGGGAUCUACCAUGGGGUGCGGAAUAACUCAGAGAAAUUUGAGCUAAUACCGCAUAAUGUCUUCGGACCAAAGAUUUAUCGCCCUUUGAUGAACCCGCGUAGGAUUAGCUUGUUGGUGAGGUAAGAGCUCACCAAGGCGACGAUCUUUAGCUGGUCUGAGAGGAUGAUCAGCCACACUGGGACUGAGACACGGCCCAGACUCCUACGGGAGGCAGCAGUGGGGAAUAUUGGACAAUGGGCGAAAGCCUGAUCCAGCAAUGCCGCGUGAGUGAUGAAGGCCUUAGGGUUGUAAAGCUCUUUUACCAGGGAUGAUAAUGACAGUACCUGGAGAAUAAGCUCCGGCUAACUCCGUGCCAGCAGCCGCGGUAAUACGGAGGGAGCUAGCGUUGUUCGGAAUUACUGGGCGUAAAGCGCGCGUAGGCGGUUACUCAAGUCAGAGGUGAAAGCCCGGAGCUCAACUCCGGAACUGCCUUUGAAACUAGGUGACUAGAAUCUUGGAGAGGCGAGUGGAAUUCCGAGUGUAGAGGUGAAAUUCGUAGAUAUUCGGAAGAACACCAGUGGCGAAGCGACUCGCUGGACAAGUAUUGACGCUGAGUGCGAAAGCGUGGGGAGCAAACAGGAUUAGAUACCUUGUAGUUCACGCGGA